ACUAGGAGACGGCACCUAGACCAUCUUCAAUGAGAUGAAGUGGUCUGGGUGACUAUUGUAACCCUUUAAAAAUCACAUGUACAGGCAAUACUAACAGACUGCAUAUACAAAAUACAAUAAAAACUACACACACAGAAAACUGCACUGAAAAAGUAACAGUAAUGAAAGUAACAAUAAAGAAAAAAAUAUAUAUGUAGCCACAAAGGGAGAAAACAGUUAGUUUUUUUCAAAGAUGUCUUCAGUAGCACAGAGCUUGCUGGACAUUGCUGGGGGAAAUAAGGCACUGUGUGCAGUGGAUAUAGUGGGAGGUCUCUCAUAGCUUGUGGAUAUUUUGGUGUAAAAUAGAGUCAUUGCAUGUGGUGGAUGGAGUGUGAGGUCUCUCGGAGGUUUCUGGAUGUUUUGGGGUAAAUUGGAGGCAUUGCUUGCGGUGGAUGGAGUGUGAGGCCUCUAGAUGGGAUAGUGCAGGCCAUGAUGCAAUUCCCUGCAACAAGUGCCUCAAAUGACAUUAUGUUCAAAGAGUGAAGCAAUAUAUCCAGGACUGUCUAACCUACAGUAUUAAUCUAGUCAUGGUAGAGAACAGACAGUUUGCUCAGUCUAGCUAUUUAUUAUCUCAAUAUCUGUUAUUCCAGGUAAUUGCAUUGAUUUAUUAUUUGAUGGCUGGGGCAAAUGGGAAGGAUUACAGCUUUAGCACAUAUAUCAAGUGUAUUUAUCUGUCGGUGUGACUGUCUGUCUCUAUUUAUCAUUCUAUAUGUCUGCCUCUUUCUCUAUCAUUCUCUCUGCCUCUCUAGCUAUCGUUCUAUCUAUCGUUCCAUUUGUCUGUCUCUAUAUCUAUCGUUCUGUCUGUCUGUCUGUCUAUCUAUCUAUCUAAUCAUUCUGUCUGUCUGCCUCUCUAUCUAUCAUUCUGUCUGUCUGCCUCUCUAUCUAUCAAUCAUUCUGUCUGUCUGCCUCUCUAUCUAUCGUUCUGUCUGUCUGCCUCUCUAUCUAUCUAUCUAUCGUUCUGUCUGCCUAUCUAUCAUUCUGUCUGCCUAUCUAUCAUUCUGUCUGUCUGCCUCUAUCUAUCUAUCGUUCUGUCUGUCUGCCUCUCUAUCUUUUGUUCUGUCUGUCUGCCUCUCUAUCGUUCUGUCUGUCUGCCUCUCUAUCGUUCUGUCUGCCUCUCUAUCAUUCUGUCUGUCUGCCUCUCUAUCUAUCAUUCUGUCUGUCUGCCUCUCUAUCUAUCUAUUGCUCUGUCUGUCUGCCUCUCUAUCUAUCGUUCUGUCUGUCUGCCUGCCUCUCUCUAUCAUUCUAUCUGUCUACCUCUCUUUAUCGUUCCAUCUGUCUGUCUUCUUCACCCUCUUUGCUCUGUCUGCCUCUCUGUCUUCUGAUCUGUUAUUUCAUGUCAUUGUUUUUACUGAAAGUUAUAUAUAUUUUGUUUCUGCAACUCACAUGGUUAAUUUUCUCUUUCUAAGUGCAGUACAUUCUGCCAGUUUCUUUCUACAUUUAGAUUUUGAAUCAGCCCAAGCACUGAAAUAAUUAAAUAUGGAUUUACCGAACACAUGGGACUGUACUUUCCAGGAUAAAUAUUUCCACGAGUAUUUACGUUUGACAUUUGUACAACAUCUUGGCUCGAGGCUUACAAAUUGAGAGAUCCAAGCUCUCCCAGGCUUUAUAAAUAUGUGUAGUGGGUAAUGAUGUGUUUGUUUAUUUUUUAAAGUUCCAGAGUGUAAUGUAGCCUCGUACUUUGGAUACAGAAAGCAUCCAAAAAAAAGCAAAAGAUGCUUUCUGUAUAUGCAUGAACGGAGACUGGAUUUAGGGCAACCCUAAAAAUUUAGGUAUUGUGGAAUAAUUGUAAACACUGUGUAAUACAGCCACGAUGUGCAGGCAACAUCUUAGGUCCAUGGUCUAAGGCAGGGGUCCUCAAACUCUGGCCCCCCAGAAGUUGCUGAACUACAACUCCCAUGUUUCUCUGGCUAUCUAUGUAAUUCAAAGAAUUAUGGGAGUUGUAGUUCAGCAACAUCUGGAAGGCCACAGUUUGAGCACCCCUGGUCUAAGGGAUAGUCCCCAUCAGCAGAUACUGCCUAUCCCAGUACGACCAAUAGGCAAAGGGAUAACUGUAUGUUGAGGGAUACUUGUACACCCAUGUGCUAUCUUUUCCUAGUUUAUAACCAAUUGCGAUAAGAUCUGUUAUUCUUGUGGUACAGGUCUAUUUGUGGCUUCUUCAGUUAUACAAUAGAGGGGGUGUUGAUGAUGCAUUCCUCAAUCUAUGUGGGGACAGAGCACCAUUGAAAUGUCUGUGUAGUUAGCAAUACAAUUCCCCCACCUCACCCCCCUAAGAAAUAGCCUCUCUUCACCUAGGCCGGUCCCUUCACGGGGUUGGGCCUUUAAUUGUAUCCAAGCAUUGCCUCCUCCUGCCCCUUGUGUGGGUUUGCAUUGAUCCAGAUGCUAUAAUCUAAAGCUAUGCAUAAUGAAAAAAUAGCAUUAAAAAACAUAUUGCCUGGGCUUUUCUAUUUAUAGGGUCUUUUACUUGUGUGACAUGAUUAAUCUGUUACUCAAUUCAUUGACAAACUGGAUAUGCCAAAAAUGAGGUUUGCCAAUAGAGUAAAACAUGUACUGUGAGUCAAAAGUGAGAAGCAAUUCAGGAAUCACCAAAUCACCUCUGAAAAUCCCCCAUGAUGCAUAGUUUUAAAUAUUCAAGAUGGCAGCUUUCAUUGGGGAUGGGUAGCAUUGCAUAUGCUAUAGGCACAUCAGUUGAUCUAAUCUAACAAUGCAUGUGAUUCCUGACUUUUGAU
rnacentral:lncRNA from 1 species